AACGCGAAGUACCUUACCUAGACUUGACAUCCCUUGCAUUACUAUUAACCGAGGAAAUCCUUCGGGACAAGGAGACAGGUGGUGCAUGGUUGUCGUCAGCUCGUGUCGUGAGAUGUUGGGUUAAGUCCCGCAACGAGCGCAACCCUUAUUGUUAGUUGCUACCAUUAAGUUGAGCACUCUAGCGAGACUGCCCGGGUUAACCGGGAGGAAGGUGGGGAUGACGUCAAAUCAUCAUGCCCCUUAUGUCUAGGGCUACACACGUGUUACAAUGGCGAGUACAAAGAGAUGCGAGACCGCGAGGUGGAGCCAAACUCAAAAACUGGUCCCAGUUCGGAUUGUAGGCUGAAACUCGCCUACAUGAAGCCGGAGCUGCUAGUAAUCGCG
rnacentral:rRNA from 1 species